GGUCGCCCGCCGCAUGAGUGUCAAGGCCUCAUGCCUGUGCGAAUUUUGAAUCUGGUUGCACCGCUGCCCCACAAGGGCACCGCCAAGCGCACCACAGAUACCACCGCCCCAGGCGCGCAGGUCUGGCGCAGUUUCUCCAGUGAUCGGCAGCAGCCUUCGCCGGGGCGACGUAGAUAGUGCAAUCCUCAG
rnacentral:sRNA from 21 species